ACGGGAAAGACAGCGCAUGAACUUUGACGUAAUGAGUCAAAGUUGACGAGGAUGAGGGUUCUCUAUUGCAAGAUAGAGUUAACUAUCUCCCUCUCCAAUUAGGAGAGGGUUGGGGUGAGGUAGGAAAAUCGAAAGUUCAGCGGAAGCCCUCUGGAUAUGCCAUUAUCCAAUCUCUUUCCCUCCAAGGUAAAAACUUUGCUAUUAACAUCUCACAAGUGAUUGCGAGAGCAAAAGGCAAAGGAUGGUGAAA
rnacentral:ncRNA from 2 species